rnacentral:rRNA from 1 species
ACCUGCAGCCAUGCCAAUACAUGCUGUGAUCCCACUAGAGCUCACAAAUUGAGCAGUGUCAAGAUGCAUCAGUACUGGGAUGGGAGAUUUCCAAGGAGUAGGCUGCCGGGA